CAGGAUGGAUGCUACAGAUAUUCUUGAUUUUCAUUUGCCUUUGCCUGGAGAUAUGAAAUCCCUCUUGCAUGUUCCCUUAAAGCCCAUGAGAUCAUCUGCUGCCUGUUAAUGGAAAGCAGUUUAUUUUGAAGGAGGAAGAACUGACAGAUUUUUGUUGCCAUGAACUGUAUAAGAAAUCUAACAAGCCAAAUGCAGAUGGAUCAAUACAGGCUGUUGCUUAUUUAUCACCCUCUGUCUUCCUCACUUUAUUUUUAUGGCUAUUAAAGAUGCUAUCAUUGAUA